rnacentral:rRNA from 1 species
AAACUAGGGGAUAGAUACCCUAUUAUUUUUAUUAAAAAAUUAAAUAAUUUAAUUAUUAAAUGUCAAUCAUUAAAAAUAAAAAAUUUGGCGGUAUUUAUUAUUUAGAGGAACUUGUUUAUUAAAUUGAUAAUCCACGAGUGGAAAAACUUAAUUUUUUUUAUUUUUAUGUAUUGUUGUUGUAAAAUUAUAUUAAAAGAUAUUAAUUAAUAAAUUUAAUUAAAAUUAUAAUUCAAAUCAAAAUGUAGAAUAAUUAAGAGUUUAAUGAGUUACAAUUAAAUUAAUAAUUGAAUUUUAUAAAUAAAAAAUUUAAUUUUAUAAAUGAAAAUGGAUUAAAAGUAAAAUUAUAUAACUAUAAUUGAA